rnacentral:tRNA from 1 species
ACCGGAAUAGCUCAACAGGUUAGAGCAUCAGCCUUUAUGUGGGUUCGAGUCCCACUUCCGACU